rnacentral:rRNA from 1 species
GAUGAACGCUGGCGGCGUGCCUAAUACAUGCAAGUCGAGCGAACAGACGCGGAGCUUGCUCCUCUGACGUUUGCCGCGCACGGGUGAGUAACACGUGGAUAACCUACCUAUAUGACUGGGAUCUCUUCGGGAAACCGGCGCUAAUACCGGAUAAGAUCUUGAACCGCAUUGUUCAAUAGUGAAAUUCGGUUUUGCUGUCACUUAUAGCUGCUUCCCCGCCGCAUUAGCUAGUUGUUAAGGUGACGGCUUUCCAAGGCAACGAUGCGUAGCCGAAGUAAGAGGGUGAUCGGCCACAUUAGAAGGUAGACGGCGACAAGGCUACUGAGGGAGGGAGCAGUAGGGAAUCUUACGCAAUGGGGGAGAGCAUGACGGAGCAAGGGGGCGUGAGUGAUGACGGUCUUGGGAUCGUAAAGCUGUGUUAUUGGGGAAGAACAAAUGUGUACGGAAAUAAGGACGUCUUGACGGUACCUGAUCAGAAAGCAACGGCUAACUACGUG